UACGAAGGGGGCUAGCGUUGUUCGGAAUUACUGGGCGUAAAGCGCACGUAGGCGGACAUUUAAGUCAGGGGUGAAAUCCCAGAGCUCAACUCUGGAACUGCCUUUGAUACUGGCGAUCUCGAGUCCGGGAGAGGUGAGUGGAACUGCGAGUGUAGAGGUGAAAUUCGUAGAUAUUCGCAAGAACACCAGUGGCGAAGGCGGCUCACUGGCCCGGUACUGACGCUGAGGUGCGAAAGCGUGGGGAGCAAACAGG
rnacentral:rRNA from 1 species